GAUGAACGCUGGCGGCGUGCCUAAUACAUGCAAGUCGAGCGAACGGACGAGAAGCUUGCUUCUCUGAUGUUAGCGGCGGACGGGUGAGUAACACGUGGAUAACCUACCUAUAAGACUGGGAUAACUUCGGGAAACCGGAGCUAAUACCGGAUAAUAUUUUGAACCGCAUGGUUCAGAAGUGAAAGACGGUCUUGCUGUCACUUAUAGAUGGAUCCGCGCUGCAUUAGCUAGUUGGUAAGGUAACGGCUUACCAAGGCAACGAUGCAUAGCCGACCUGAGAGGGUGAUCGGCCACACUGGAACUGAGACACGGUCCAGACUCCUACGGGAGGCAGCAGUAGGGAAACUUCCGCAAUGGGCGAAAGCCUGACGGAGCAACGCCGCGUGAGUGAUGAAGGUCUUCGGAUCGUAAAACUCUGUUAUUAGGGAAGAACAUAUGUGUAAGUAACUGUGCACAUCUUGACGGUACCUAAUCAGAAAGCCACGGCUAACUACGUG
rnacentral:rRNA from 1 species